GGAGCACGAGACCCAAGGACCCACUGCGUGCCAGGCCCUCGUCUGCUGAGCAUGUAUUGAGUACCUGUUACAUUCAUUUGUCAGACAUAGACUAUGCACCUACUACAUGACAGGUUCCUGUGCACUGAGGAUUUAUUGAGCACCUGCUAUGUUCAUUCAUCAGAUGCAGACUGUGCACCUACUUCAUGCCAAGCCCUCACCCACCAGGCAUUUACUAAGCACCUACUGCACAGUGCAGGGCUGUUGGAGGGCUCUCCGCAGAGGAGUGAUGAGGUCGCUUUCUGUGUUUCAUGGCAGGGAGACAGGUGGGGAGGCUACUGAAGGAACAGAGACCCUGGAAGAUAGAAUGACAACUCUGACAUGGUUCCUGCUCUGCUGGAGCCCGUGGCCCAGGAGGGAAUGGUGCUGAAGAUGGGGAGAUCCGAGUGGCCCUACUGUGAGACCCCAAUAGGGGACUGGAUGUGGUCAGCCCUGCCUUGCUGCUGCUCCAUCAUCUGUCCAGCUCCUCGUCCUCUUCCCAAUGCCACUGCUUUCCAGGGCUUGGCCAGAGACCUCUCUGCUUCCCAUCCAAGCCUAGAUGCCUCCUUCUAGUUGAUGUCUUCACAGCCACCACCCCAAAUGGCAGCAACGGCUGUGAGCUCCAUUUCUAUGGAUGAUAAAAGUGAGGCACAGAUGAAUCAAUUAUCUGAGGAUCCCAGCUUGUCCAGUAUUUCGUGAAAGAACCGAACCCAAAAAGCAAAUCAUCCACCCAGCAGAAACACGAGGAGUUCAGGAUGAUGUGGCAACACCAAGACCAUGGGAGCCUGGAAGCCAUCUAGCCUGCUGCACUGCUCUCCUCAACAAGGAACUCUGAGCUCGCGGCGUAAGAUGGUUGCUGCAUCUCCCUCCAUCCCAUGCGCGUUCCAGUCAGGGCCACGCUGAGAAAAGGAAGUGGAGGCAAUACCCCUGUCCCUUCCUUUUAGGUCUAGGGCCUGGAAUGUGUACAUGCUGGUCCACUCAUACUCCAUG
rnacentral:lncRNA from 10 species